GGGCCUGUAGUAUAACGGUAAUACGCAUCCAUGGCAUGGAUGAGUCUGGGGUUCGAUUCCCCACAGGUCCACCA
rnacentral:tRNA from 1 species